rnacentral:misc_RNA from 1 species
UCAGAUUUGGGAUACUGCUGGUCAAGAAAGGUAUCGUGCCAUUACGAGUGCUUAUUAUCGGGGAGCUGUCGGUGCUUUGCUCGUAUAUGAUGUUACUCGACAUGUUACCUUUGAAAACGUCAACAGGUGGUUGAAGGAAUUGAGAGACCAUACUGACCCUAACAUUGUAGUCAUGCUCCUAGGCAACAAAUCAGAUCUCCGACAUCUCGUGGCUGUUUCAACUGAAGAGGCUAAAUCUUUGGCAGAGAGGGAAGCCCUAUACUUCAUGGAAACUUCUGCAUUAGAAGCGACCAACGUUGAAAAUGCGUUUACUGAAGCUCUCACGCAGAUAUACCGGAUCGUCAGUAAGAAAGCAGUCGAGGCAGGGGACGAAGGUGCUACUUCAACCGCACCACCUAAAGGACAGACGAUUAAUAUCAAAGAUGAAGGAUCUGCUUGGAAAAAGUUUGGGUGCUGUUCGAGCUAGG